rnacentral:lncRNA from 1 species
AUGCUGAAUUGCAGAGACUUUUGCCUCUGGCUUAAGAAGUUCCCCAAACCCCUGGUAGCUUCGCUCCUUGUGAGCAUGUUCCCAAAACAUUCUCAGGGCUUUUCCCAGCUCCCUGGCCAGUUAGGAGGACAACAGAUGAUCAAACCACACAGGCUGCUCGGUGCACCAGGGCUUUGCUGCUGCUUUCACUGUAUCAGCUCGGAAAAUAUUUAUUUGGGGUUUUUCUGCUUCCCAGUUCUGGAGUGGUUCGGGAAAAACAAAACUGCUUUCCAGAGAGAUCAUCUGUGCUCCUGCUUUCAGUCAAAAUCAAAAGGGUUUGGGCUGAUUUACAGCUUUUUAAGGCAAAACCCAAAUAAAUGCCAUCAAAGGACAUGUCAAGGGUGGAGAAAGAUCAGAAGGUCACCUCAAGAUCAAGGUGGAGAAAGAUCAGAGGCCUGCUAUAAGCCAAGAAAAUAUGUCAAAAGGAAAUAUUUUCAUUUCUGGUUGUGUUUCUUUCUGUCCAGAGUGCCCCAGUGUUUCAGCCAUGACUGAUUGGGUGAACUGGGAAUGAAUUGGGGUGAUUUGGGGCGAGCACAUCCUCCUUAUGGAGAGGGAUAUGGAUUAGAUGGAGCAGCCCCAGCUCUCUGAUCCCCAGCUCCUCUCCACCCUGGCCAUCAUUCAGCUCUAUACCCCGAACUGCCUUCGUGCAUCCCUCUCCCCAUCUGAAAGCACUCAUCAUUUGGGGUCAGAAUGCCACCGACACUGGCACAGCCAGGGAUCAAUUGGGGGUCAGGAGUCGUCCCUGCACUGCUGAAGGAUUUUCCAGCAGCCGUUCACCCCCUAUUUAUUGACCCAGCAAUGUUUGCAGCGCUGAAUGUAGUGAAGUCGCAGUGUUCUGCAGGUCCCUGGGGUGGGGAUUUUACGGGAAUGCUGAUUCCCCAUUGCGCAGCCUCUGUGUUAAAAUGGUUUUGAACCCACAUAGAGCCAGAAAUCGAGUGAGGUCCUGCCGGGCUAAAUGGAUUUCACCGCUGAAACAGAAAGGAAUGGGCUCCCAGGAACAAGUGAUAUUAUUUACAUGGCAUCGAUCGGUGCUGAGCUUUUGCUGGCUCAGCACUUUUAACCCCUGGUUUUCAUCAGCUGAGUGCUUAACCCUCAGCUAAUUGGAUUUGCAGCUGUUAUUGUGAUCUAUGCUGCCUCCAAUUACUCUCCAUGGGGCACCCAUAGGAUGGGGAGCCCAAAUGGGGCAGAAAGCCCUCAUAAGGGCAGAAAGAGCAAAGUAUCACAGCACAUGAGGGCAAGAGUGUUGGGGUGAACUGGGGCACAGAUGGAUGAAGCCUUUUCCCAGGGAGCUUUGAGGGACUCAGCAUCUUGACUUCUUUGUGCAGGAUCAUGGUGGCAAUGCCCUUGUCCUCCUUCUCAUUACAUCCAUUGGAGCCCUUGUGGCUGAGCUGCUUUCUCCCACCAGGAGGUCAUCCAUCUGAUGGAACAGUUCUUCCUUUGGGCUCCCAGCAAAGACUGACAACAAAAAAAGCCAUAAAGCAGCUGAUGGGCAAAGAAUGAGGAGCCGUGAUUUUUCCUGCAUGGCCACAGGGCUCUGUUGUCUUUGGGCUGACACCAAAGGACUCAUUGGCUGUCAUAAAAUCACAAACAUUGAAGAAGACCACUAAGAUAAUUCAUCCAACCUAGAUCCUGGUAGGCUUUGAAGUGCAGAGACGAUCAGAAGCAAAAUCUUCCAUAGGUGUGUGUGGGGUAAACUGGUGAACAAAACCAUGAGCGAUCUCUUGUGUCUUGUCUUCCAUCACAGCCAAGAGAAAUGCAUUAUUGGUCUUGACACGGAGGGGCAGCAGACGGAUAAUUGGGUGACAUUUGCCGCUCUGCAUCACGCGGGGUCAGAUGAGAUGGUCUUUUGUGACCUUUAAAUCCAUGAACUAACAAAAUUUGGCCUUCUUGAGGUGAUUCUGUUGGAAAGGAUGGGAAAGCUGAGACUCCAGAGACUGCUGGGGCUGGAAAUGCAGUGCUGGGUGCUGGGCACAGAUCUGCAGCAUCACAGGGCUCCCUGCAGAGCCAAACUUCCUUUUCCAGUUAUUAAUGGUGUUUCCUAUGGCCCAGAUUCUCAGUGUUUCCCAGCACAAACCAUCUAGCAAUUUGCUUAUGCUAUUAUCCAGUGUCUGCAGCCAAUUGUUUGGAAGACAGCUGGAGAGCCUGGAAUUAAUGAGAAGUGACAGCAAAAUCCUGGAAAGGGUCAGAAAAUCCCUGGAAAAUACAUGGGAAUUCCAUAGCAAGGUCCUUAACCAGGAGCUCUGCCUGCAGGCAUUUCUGGUUUUCUCUUGGCUAAAACCCAGUGGUGACUGCCUCAGAGCUUCCAGGCAUUCUGAGCGUGCUGAACACUUCCCAGCAGAGCCAUCACAUCUGACUGAAUCCUACAACUCUCUCCUUCUGCCUUUCCCAGGGACAGCUUUUGGCAGCCCCAGGGCUGGCGGUAGGGGAAAAUCAUCCCAGUGCAGAGCAGGAGCCCUAAAAUAUUGAGACCUUAUGGGUUUUCCCAUUCCUUGCUGAGCCAGGCAAAAAGAGACCCCAGAAAUAACCAUGCAAUUACCAAAGUCGUUAUCCCAGGUGCUGUGCAAACCUACAUAAUGUCAACAGGUGUGGAAGGAGAGCAGACAGCUGGAGGAGGAGGAGAGUGAUGGGACCCCCAGGUGCUGCAGGGUCUGAGCUCCAUGCAGAGAAGCGGGGAAAAUUCCUGUUUUCCUCCUCUCUCCCUCCUCUCUUAAUGGCUUAGGGGCUGGGUGCGUUAAGUGGUUUAAUUAUUUUCAUAGCACAUAAUUUAAAGGGGAUAUUUGGCUCCCGGGAAGGUGGGGGGCUGCAGGGGUGGGGGUCUGGCUCUGCCUCCCCAGAGCUGCAUGCAGCCUCUCUGCUCUGCAUUAAAAUGCAAAUGUGUGCCUGCCUGCUGGGAGCAGAUAGCGGAACACCAAAAAGCAAGAGAAUAAACAGAGGGCAGAGCGGGAGGGGAGCUGGGAG